GGGGACAGUACCUGACAUAGAAAGAGAUACCAAGACUUACGUCCUGAAUUCUCAGCCCCAUCAGUCACUAGUUGGGAGAUACUGGAUCGGCUUAAGUGUCAGGUCAACUCGGAAGUUUCUUCAAAUGAAUCAGAAAAUAGUGUCUGUUUCCAAAAUAAAGUGCAUAGAAAGGGA